AACGAACGCUGGCGGCGUGCCUAACACAUGCAAGUCGAACGAGAAAGCUCUUCGGAGUGAGUACAGUGGCGCACGGGUGAGUAACGCGUAGGUGACCUACCGAAUCGUGGGGGAUAACACGGAGAAAUUCGUGCUAAUACCGCAUACGAAUAAACGAAAUUGAAAAAGUUUAUGAAAGAGUGCCUCUGCAUAUGCACUUGCGAUUUGAUGGGCCUGCGAGACAUUAGCUUGAUGGUGGGGUAGUGGCCUACCAUGGCAACGAUGUCUAGCGGAUCUGAGAGGAUGAUCCGCCACACUGGAACUGAGACACGGUCCAG
rnacentral:rRNA from 1 species